CCUACGGGCGGCUGCAGUAGGGAAUAUUGCGCAAUGGGGGCAACCCUGACGCAGCGACGCCGCGUGAGUGAUGAAGGCCUUCGGGUCGUAAAGCUCUGUUAUAUGGGAAUAAGAUCUGAAUGUACCAUGUGAGAAAGGAUCGGCUAACUUCGUGCCAGCAGCCGCGGUAAGACGAGGGAUCCUAGCGUUGCUCGGAAUCAUUGGGCGUAAAGCGGGUGUAGGUGGCUUUGUAAGUCAGGUGUGAAAGCCCAGGGCUCAACCCUGGAAGUGCAUUU
rnacentral:rRNA from 1 species